UACGUAGGCAGCGAGCGUUGUUCGGAGUUACUGGGCGUAAAGAGUGCGUAGGCGGUUUUCUAAGUUUGGUGUGAAAGCCCCCCGGCUCAACUGGGGAGGGUCACGCGAUACUGAUCGACUCGAAGGCAGGAGAGGGUAGUGGAAUUCCCGGUGUAGUGGUGAAAUGCGUAGAUAUCGGGAGGAACACCAGUGGCGAAGGCGACUACCUGGCCUGUUCUUGACGCUGAGGCGCGAAAGCUAGGGGAGCAAACGGG
rnacentral:rRNA from 1 species